rnacentral:tRNA from 1 species
GCAUUGGUGGUUCAGCAGUAGAAUUCUUGCCUUCUAUGCAGGAGAUCUAGGUUGAAUGCCCAGCCGAUGUG